CAUCUCAACUCAACACCUCUUAGCUCCUCCAUUCCUUUCUUCAAGUUAACACUCCCCCUCAAGCUUGACUUUAGCUGAUCCUAAGUCAAGCUUGGAACCUUGAAGACUUCCUCAUUAAAAACCUCACCAAGGAAAACCCUUUGGACAAAACCUUGAUGAGGGAAAAAGAGUAAAGCCUCCAAGGCCUAGGAUUGGCCAGUGAGUCUUUGUGCCUUACCAACAAUGUAAGGGACACAAAGACUCUGGAUCAUGGCCUCAUGUGAUGCACGAUAGAACCCACUCCUCUUGCUCAUCAUCAACACUUCUUGUACUCUUCUUCAGACAGAUCUUGGUCUCUCCCCCUUUCUCACAACCUUCUUGUUGUGAUCAAGUGCUCGGACUAACAGCUCUUCCUUGAUAGAUACAAGCUGAGUCUUGGCUGCUUCUUCUUCAUGAGUCAACCACCAUGUUACUGAAACCUUCAUGACCGGAUG
rnacentral:lncRNA from 1 species